GCCUCCAUAGCUCAGUGGCCAGAGCGCUGGUCUAGUAAACCAGAGGUCAGGAGUUCGAUCCUCCUUGGAGGCA
rnacentral:tRNA from 1 species